rnacentral:rRNA from 1 species
UAAGGAAUAUUGGUCAAUGGACGCAAGUCUGAACCAGCCAUGCCGCGUGAAGGAUGAAGGUCCUCUGGAUUGUAAACUUCUUUUAUCUGGGACGAAAACGGGAUUUUUAUCUCAAUUGACGGUACCAGAGGAAUAAGCACCGGCUAACUCCGUGCCAGCAGCCGCGGUAAUACGGAGGGUGCGAGCGUUAUCCGGAUUUACUGGGUUUAAAGGGUGCGUAGGUGGGCUUAUAAGUCAGUGGUGAAAUCUCCGAGCUUAACUUGGAAACUGCCGUUGAUACUAUAGGUCUUGAAUUAUCUGGAGGUAAGCGGAAUAUGUCCUGUAGCGGUGAAAUGCUUAGAUAUGACAUAGAACACCAAUUGCGAAGGCAGCUUACUACAUAUAAAUUGACGCUGAGGCACGAAAGCGUGGGGAUCAAACA